AAACAUUGGACUUAACAGUAAAGGUUAAAAUAUUUUCGCGGGGUGUAAAUUUUCGCUUAUUUUCGCGGAUAGAACAAAAUCGCCAAAAUAAAUUCCGCCAAACUAAAAGUGUACAUGCAAAGGUAUUGUUAAAAGUUUGAAUCCGCCAAAAUAUUUGGUAUACCUUAUUCAAUGAAAAUCGCGAAAUUUUACACCCGCAAAAAAAACCCGCUAUACGGUAUACAAAAAAAAUAAAAGAACACCAGAAAACCCCAGAAACGAAAAAUACUCCAAUUAAAAGCGUAUUGGUUAGAUAUAGACAUCUACUCUAAAAACCUUUCUUCGAAAAUAUUACAAAAUGCACAUGUCAGCAACUUUCUAUAAGUGCACACAUGCCCUAUAAAAC
rnacentral:lncRNA from 1 species